rnacentral:tRNA from 1 species
GCCGGUGUAGUUUAGCCGGUAUAGUGACUGGCUACGAGCCGGACGACCGGGGUUCGAUCCCCGGCGGUGGCA